rnacentral:rRNA from 1 species
UACGUAGGGGGCAAGCGUUGUCCGGAUUUAUUGGGCGUAAAGAGCGUGUAGGCGGCUGGGUAGGUCCGUUGUGAAAACUCGAGGCUCAACCUCGAGACGCCGAUGGAAACCCUCCAGCUAGAGUCCGGAAGAGGAGAAUGGAAUUCCUGGUGUAGCGGUGAAAUGCGCAGAUAUCAGGAAGAACACCCGUGGCGAAGGCGGUUCUCUGGGACGGUACUGACGCUGAGACGCGAAAGCGUGGGGAGCGAACAGG